UCCUGAUCCACAGAUCCUGUAUUGGGAAGCUAUUGGAGAGUUUUGAACAGCUGAUGUUAUUUUCCAAAACAAUGACUCUGCUGGCUACAUGGACACAGGCUUGCAGGGAGGGAGGCAGGGGCAGAAAUCCCAUUGGCAAACAAAGUGGCAUCCGAAAUGUCACACACACACACACACACACACACACACACACACACACCCCAAAUCCUGUUUCCUCCACAUACCUUAAAAUGGAAGCAGUGCCAUUGGAAGAAGCACUGCUCUCAGGCUCAGGAGAAGACCCAGUCUUUCAAAGACUCCUUUGGGAAUGUCCAGACUUCCCACUUCAGACAGUGGCCCUUCUGCCAUCCACAGCUGGACGUCCUUGAUUCCCCAUUAGUCCUCACUCCAUACAGCCAGCGCACCGGCUCUGCCAUGUGUCCUAGUCAACCCACCUCUCUCCACCCCUUCUCAGCCCUGGCCCCCCUUCCCUCUCACCACAGCUCCAGCAUCCAUCUCCUUAGGAGGCUUCUUGCUUCCACUCCUGCCCCUGCAAUCCUGUGUCCACACAGCCACGGAGUCACCAAGAUGUGAAGAGGCAAAGUCACUGGCUCCACACCCACAGCUGGCCAGCAGGGAACAGUCGACCCCCGACACGAAGCGGCUUUUCUCACAGCUACUCGAGCGCGAAUCGCAGGGUGGCACUCAGGGGUAUUCCCCAGGAAUAAAACAUAACUAUCUUAAAGUUUAUGAAGUAAUUGGCACCUUAAGAUGGAAUAUUUUUGGU
rnacentral:lncRNA from 1 species